rnacentral:rRNA from 1 species
GUCCCAGUUCGGAUUGUAGUCUGCAACCCGACUACAUGAAGCCGGAAUCGCUAGUAAUCGCGGAUCAGAAUGCCGCGGUGAAUACGUUCCCGGGCCUUGUACACACCGCCCGUCACACCAUGAGAGCCGGGGGGACCCGAAGUCGGUAGUUUAACCGCAAGGAGGACGCCGCCGAAGGUAAAACUGGUGAUUGGGGUGAAGUCGUAACAAGGUAGC